AAAAACAAUAGCAUUAGGAGAAAACUAGAUAAGAAAAUAAGGAUGGGUUCAUUCAAGACAACAUUUUUCUUGGUCCUCUUCGCCACCUCGGCCUUAUGUUUUACAAAGUCGGAGGGAAAAUGCCACAGAGACUCGGAAUGUGCGAACGCGCAGCCGUGCCCGGUUCGGAUGGCUUGUCUCUUCGGCACAUGCAUCUGUCCCUUCCAACCUCAGGAACUCUCCUCCGGCCAAUCGCAACGCGAGAGAGAGGGCAAAAAUGUCAUUACCCCUCCCGGCGCUAAUUGAUUGCCGGAGCUUCGACUUCUCUCUUGAGAUUUGUGCAAUAAGUAAAAUGUAACCGAAACCCAUGGUCAUAUAAAAUAAAACAAUGUUUUUUUUAAUCGAACUUUGGACAAAAUAAUAGGAAUGGAGAAAAUGGAUCUUAUAUAUUA